UACGGAGGGAGCUAGCGUUAUUCGGAAUUACUGGGCGUAAAGCGUACGUAGGCGGCUUUGCAAGUUAGAGGUGAAAGCCUGGAGCUCAACUCCAGAACUGCCUUUAAAGCUGCAUCGCUUGAAUCCAGGAGAGGUGAGUGGAAUUCCGAGUGUAGAGGUGAAAUUCGUAGAUAUUCGGAAGAACACCAGUGGCGAAGGCGGCUCACUGGACUGGUAUUGACGCUGAGGUACGAAAGCGUGGGGAGCAAACAGG
rnacentral:rRNA from 1 species